AACGAACGCUGGCGGCAGGCCUAACACAUGCAAGUCGAGCGAGGACUUCGGUCCUAGCGGCGGACGGGUGAGUAACGCGUGGGAACUUGCCCUUUGCUUCGGAAUAGCCCUGGGAAACUUGGCUUAAUACCGGAUGAGCCCUUUGGGGGAAAGAUUUAUCGGGGCAGGAUCGGCCCGCGUUGGUUUAGGUAGUUGGUGGGGUAAUGGCCUACCAAGCCGACGAUGCAUAGCUGGUUUGAGAGGAUGAUCAUCCACACUGGGACUGAGACACGGACCAGACUGCGACGGGAGGGAGCAGUGGGGAAUAUUAGACAAUGGGGGAAACCCUGAUCUAGCCAUGCGGGGUGAGAGAUGAAGGCCUUAGGGUUGUAAAGCUGUUUGAGAUGGGAAGAUAAUGACGGUAACAGCAGAAGAAGCCCCGGCUAACUCCGUG
rnacentral:rRNA from 1 species